rnacentral:lncRNA from 1 species
UCGACCGAUAUGAAACGAGAAGAAAAAAUGACGCCGAUAUUUUUAACGUGGUUCGGCCAAACUGCCUACGUCCACGGACCCACACCAAUAUAUUAGAGAAUCUCAAAAGGAGGAGUACAACAAAAAUAUCACACUGUAUUUUGUAUCUGCCUACGCAGAGGCUAUUUCUCAACUCACUUUUAUCACUCGUGUAUAACUUCAACACUAAAGUUCUCUCUCACAAGAUUUUUUCUCUAUCUCUCUAGCAAAUAACACUUCUGCUAGGUGGUGUUUUGGUUGUUCUGGGGUAAUUUACAGGCUGCUAUGCGAUGCUCUAUUUAUAGGCAGAAUGGUGGUAGUAGGUGGCUGCCAAAUUUGAAUUUGCAGCUGCAACUUUUUGACUGCAACUUUUGACAAUUGUUGUUUGUUGCUUUUUGACUAACAAUCUCCCACUUGAAGACUGAUUUCAAUCUGUCUUCACACCUCGAUCAACGCAGCAGCCUUUCUGUCUUAACUGUAAAGACAUAACCGGUAGUGCUUCUCCUGCGAUCU